GCUUUUGUGAGACCAGGAGGUCUAAACUCUACAAACCAUGAAACAAUAGGCAAAGGUAGUUGGCAAGGUUAUAGUCACCUAAAGGGAAAUGGUUUCAACGGUUUUGAAAACUGCAUGGAAAAGUCAGUAUUAUUUCAUGUUAACUCAUGAUGAUAAAUCUUGGAAUGUCUUCCUGAAGGUACAGGGUCCCUCAUCCAGUAAAAGCAUCCUCUGCUUGGACUAGAUUCUCUAACUUUAGCCAUAGGAGCAAAACUCACAUAACUGAAAGUUAAGUAGGAUCUCCUUUCAUUGGUGUCCCCUAUGGAAUAUAAAUUUGUCAUGUGGAGAAAUAUAGUACAUGAAAAGGAAAUGUUUAUCAUAGCACUUCCCAAACACUCCCAGCAUACUCUCCAGACUUGUGGGAAUAGGUAGGUGCAGCUGGGAAGUUUUUUGGGUUUUGUUUUUCGGCCCCAUCCACGACUUGCGGAAGUUCCUGACCCAGGGAUCAAACCUGCGCCACAGCAGUGGCCCAAGCCACAGCAAUGACAGUGCUGGAUCCUUAACCUGCUGUGCCAUCAGGGAACUCCAGAAGUUUUAUUUUCGACAAGCUCUGCAGGUGAGUCCCAUGAUCUACUGUGUAAAGAAACUACUUUCACCCAAUCCCCUGGCCUUCCAAGCCUUGCCCUCAGUUUUUCUUACUGAUGAAUCAAUUCCAUCAUUAAUCCCAGAUUUUAUGGAGUGAGUCCCAUGUGCCAGGACCUGUACAGUUACAGUGGAUUACACUCUCUGGGCCCUUCCUGGAAUGGAGCUUGAAGUCUAGCGGGGAAGACCAACAUUGAGUAAGUCAUCACAAGGCAAAGUGGGUCCCAGAUCGGAGGUGAGGCUGGAGAUGUGGGUGAGAGGCAAGUGGGGGCUUUGGAAGGACAGUUAAGGACAGUGGAGGUUUUCCUAAAGGUGUUAAAAAGUAGACCAGCAUGAUCAGAUAUACAUCUUAGUAAUAAUUGACUUUCAUUGUACCUUUACACUGCACCAGGCAAUGUUUCAAGGACUUUAUAUGCUUAAGUCGUUUCAUCCUUACAAUAACCCCACGAAGGGAGUACUACGACUUCCCUUACAGAUGAGGAAAAUGAAGCCCACAGGGGGUUAGGUAACCUGCACAGAGUCACAAAACAGAGCUUAUAGCCCAACCAGUAUCUAUGUACUUAUUCACACCCAGCCCCUCUAAAGGAUCACCCUGCAUUAUGAGGUUGGAUGCUAUUCGGUACACCAUGGACUGGAGAGGCCAGAAUGUAUGUAAGAAGACCAGCUGGGAAGCCAUGGCAGCUGCAGAGUUGAGAGACAGUGGUGGUAAUAGAGAUACAGAGAAACAUACAGAUUUGAGAAAUGUUUUAGAUCAAAACUAGUGGUUCUCAACCUUGGCUGCACAUUGAACCACCUGAGCAGCUUAAAAAAUACAAAUGCCUGGGUCCCACUCCUGGAGAUUUGGAUUACAGUGGUCUGGGCACUGGAAUUUUUAAAAGCACCUCAGGUAUUCCAGGGUGCAGGUGAAAUUAAGAACCACUGAUUUCCAAGACUUUAAUGUGAAUAAAAGUAACUUUAGAACUUCCCACUGUGAUGCAGUAAGUUAAGAAUCCGACUGCAGCGGUUUGGGUGGCUGCAGAGUUUCAGGUUCAGUCCCCAGUCCUGUGCAGUGGGUUAAAGGAUCCUGCGAUGCUGCAGCCGUGGCUUGGAUUCAAUCCCUGGCCCAUAUGCUGCCAGUGUGGCCAUGAAAGAAAGAAAGAAAGAAGGCAAGAAAGAAAGAAGGAAAGAAAGAAAGAAGGAAAGAAAGAUAGAAGGAAAGAAAGAGGAAGGAAGGAAGGAAGGAAGAGCAUCAAAGGACUGAGCAAUGACAACAUUUAAAAAAAGAACUUUAAAAUCUUUUUUCCGGCUUUAUCGAGAUAAAAUUGACAUAUAAUUUUGU
ensembl:lncRNA